rnacentral:rRNA from 1 species
UACGAGGGGGGCGAGCGUUGUUCGGAAUUAUUGGGCGUAAAGGGUGCGUAGGCGGUUUGAUAAGUCUUGUGUGAAAUCUCUGGGCUCAACCCAGAGUCUGCAUAGGAAAUUGUCGGGCUUGAGUAUGGGAGAGGUGAGUGGAAUUUCCGGUGUAGCGGUGAAAUGCGUAGAGAUCCGGAGGAACACCAAAGGCGAAGGCAGUGUCCUGGGGAGUACCUGACGCUCAGGUGCGAAAGCCAGGGGAGCGAACGGG